rnacentral:rRNA from 1 species
UACGUAGGGUGCAAGCGUUGUCCGGAAUUAUUGGGCGGAAAGAGCUCGUAGGCGGUUUGUCGCGUCUGCUGUGAAAACUCGGGGCUUAACUCCGGGCCUGCAGUGGGUACGGGCAGACUAGAGUGCGGUAGGGGAGACUGGAAUUCCUGGUGUAGCGGUGAAAUGCGCAGAUAUCAGGAGGAACACCGGUGGCGAAGGCGGGUCUCUGGGCCGUAACUGACGCUGAGGAGCGAAAGCGUGGGGAGCGAACAGG